rnacentral:rRNA from 1 species
GUCCACGCUGUAAACGAUGCGAACUAGCUAUUUGUGAUUAAUCAUGAGUGGCCAAGGGAAACCGAUAAGUUCGCCACCUGGGGAGUACGCCGGCAACGGUGAAACUCAAAGGAAUUGACGGGGUCCGCACAAGCGGUGGAGCAUGUGGUUUAAUUCGAUGAUACGCGAGGAACCUUACCUGGGCUAAAUCAUGUAUGAAUUAGUCAGAGAUGAUUGAGUCAGCAAUGACAUAUAUGAAGGUGCUGCAUGGCUGUCGU